GGGGCCCGCGCGUCACUACGAAACACAGUAUUUGACGAGCAUGGCUACCAGCAAGUUCUGUUCGCGUCUCCGCAACGUUACAAGAUUGUCAAUAACAAAUUCAGGCAGCAUUUUCCCCGCCGUCGGUCCGUCAACAAUCCGGCAUGCAGGAAUCGGAAGAACGCAUUUCACCUACGCACCGGAAUCCCCGCCAACGAAUUCCGGUGAUACGCAAGAGAUGAACAUGUUCAAAGCAAUAAACAACGGCCUUGCACUCAGCAUGGAAGCGGACGAAUCGGCAGUAUUCUUCGGGGAAGACGUGGCCUUCGGCGGUGUCUUCAGGUGUUCGAUGGGUCUUCAGGAACGCUUUGGUAAAGAUCGGGUAUUCAAUACGCCGCUUUGCGAGCAGGGAAUCGUCGGUUUCGGCAUCGGCAUCGCGAACAUGGGAUCGACCGCAAUUGCGGAAAUACAAUUCGCCGACUAUAUUUUCCCCGCCUUCGAUCAGCUCGUCAACGAGGCUGCCAAAAUGCGGUACCGCAGCGGCGGAGACUACGAUUGCGGAAAAUUGACCGUCAGGGCACCAUGCGGAGCGGUCGGUCACGGCGGUCUCUACCAUUCCCAAUCACCCGAAGCUUAUUUCGCUCACACUCCAGGCCUCAAGGUCGUGGUGCCUCGUGGACCGAUAAAAGCCAAGGGUUUGCUGAUGAGUUGCGUGGCCGAGCCUGAUCCCUGCAUAAUAUUUGAGCCAAAAAUUCUUUACCGUGCCGCGGUUGAGGAGGUUCCGAUCGGCAGAUACGUUACGGAAAUCGGCAAGGCGGAAAUCGUCAGGAAAGGCACCGACGUAACUCUCGUCGGCUGGGGAACUCAGGUUCACGUUCUGAUCGAAGUUGCGAAUCUCGUCGAGGAGAAGCUCGGAGUUUCCUGCGAGGUGAUUGACCUCGUUACAAUCCUCCCGUGGGACGUGGAUGCCGUUUCUCAGUCGGUGAAAAAAACCGGUCGAUUGAUCAUCGCCCACGAGGCACCGCUCACCUGCGGUUUUGGAAGCGAAAUAGCAGCUACUAUUCAGGAAUCGUGUUUCCUGAGCCUGGAGGCGCCGAUCCAGCGAGUCACAGGAUGGGACACGCCGUUUCCACACAUUUUCGAGCCCUUUUAUCUCCCCGACAAAUGGCGGUGCUUCGACGCCGUCAAGAACAUCGUCAACUACUGAUAAUCCUCGAUUCCAGGACGCCAAAUCGUCGCACCCGACCGAUCCUCUUUCAAAGGACGUGGAAGUGGAAGAAGAAAUCCUUCAUUACACGCAACGCGGAACAAAGGCUAUACUUUAAUCUGACAUGAUUGCGUUACCCGUUUCUUCCACCUGUACACGCUCACCCUUUACUCCGAAAGGCUAAUUUACGCGGUACCCUCGGCGGAGCUGAAAGGUCGUGAAAAUAUUUAUCGAUGAAAUAAAAGAGGAGGACGAGGAGGAGGCGAGGCGCGAGGCUCAAAGUUCAAGGUUCCCAGUCGAGGGCGGCCUGCGUCGGUUGAUGAAAAGUUUGACGGGCCAGUAAUUAGUCUGUAUCGGCCCGUCAAA
rnacentral:misc_RNA from 1 species